rnacentral:rRNA from 1 species
CCGGUAAACGGCGGCCGUAACUAUAACGGUCCUAAGGUAGCGAAAUUCCUUGUCGGGUAAGUUCCGACCUGCACGAAUGGCGUAAUGAUGGCCAGGCUGUCUCCACCCGAGACUCAGUGAAAUUGAACUCGCUGUGAAGAUGCAGUGUACCCGCGGCAAGACGGAAAGACCCCGUGAACCUUUACUAUAGCUUGACACUGAACAUUGAGCCUUGAUGUGUAGGAUAGGUGGGAGGCUUUGAAGUGUGGACGCCAGUCUGCAUGGAGCCGACCUUGAAAUACCACCCUUUAAUGUUUGAUGUUCUAACGUAGACCCGUGAUCCGGGUUGCGGACAGUGUCUGGUGGGUAGUUUGACUGGGGCGGUCUCCUCCUAAAGAGUAACGGAGGAGCACGAAGGUUGGCUAAUCCUGGUCGGACAUCAGGAGGUUAGUGCAAUGGCAUAAGCCAGCUUGACUGCGAGCGUGACGGCGCGAGCAGGUGCGAAAGCAGGUCAUAGUGAUCCGGUGGUUCUGAAUGGAAGGGCCAUCGCUCAACGGAUAAAAGGUACUCCGGGGAUAACAGGCUGAUACCGCCCAAGAGUUCAUAUCGACGGCGGUGUUUGGCACCUCGAUGUCGGCUCAUCACAUCCUGGGGCUGAAGUAGGUCCCAAGGGUAUGGCUGUUCGCCAUUUAAAGUGGUACGCGAGCUGGGUUUAGAACGUCGUGAGACAGUUCGGUCCCUAUCUGCCGUGGGCGCUGGAGAACUGAGGGGGGCUGCUCCUAGUACGAGAGGACCGGAGUGGACGCAUCACUGGUGUUCGGGUUGUCAUGCCAAUGGCACUGCCCGGUAGCUAAAUGCGGAAGAGAUAAGUGCUGAAAGCAUCUAAGCACGAAACUUGCCCCGAGAUGAGUUCUCCCUGACUCCUUGAGAGUCCUGAAGGAACGUUGAAGACGACGACGUUGAUAGGCCGGGUGUGUAAGCGCAGCGAUGCGUUGAGCUAACCGGUACUAAUGAACCGUGAGGCUUAACCUUACAACGCCGAAGGUGUUU